CGGCAGCUGCCGCCCGGCCGCCGCAGGGGGUGAGGGAACGCCGCAGGGCUCCUGGCUCCGCGGAGGGCAGGUCGCGGCCCAGCGCGUGCGCUCGGUUCCCCCCUCGCCGCCCCUUCCGCGGGGCGGAACGGCUCUCUGCUCACUUGCGCUCCUGGCAGCGCAUGCCGUCCCUUUGCACUGGGGCAGAAGCAGCUCCCCGCCGCUAGGACCCCUGUGGGGUUUGUUGCUGAGCGAGGGUGGCACACUGUGUAAACAGGAAAUCUGCUGCUGGCAUGCUGCAGUUGCAGGUUUCCCAGGAGAAAGAGCAGCCCGUCUGUCCUGACUGUCCAGCAAACCUGUGCAAUCCCAGGAGUGUAAGUACAGUCUUGUGUAGCAUUGUCAUUCUGCCCCACCACUCUGAUAUCUAACAAGCAGCUAACUAUAGAAAGAAAUAAGAUCCUCAAGUGUCCUUGGAUCCGCUAACUCUACCUCUUUAUCUCUUCCCUAAGAAGACACCGUGGAUUUAAAGACGGUGUGUAUUAAAUGAAGUAUAAGAAGAAACAGCUUCUUCGGACACUUGGCGCUACUCUUCUUCAGCUCGUGCAGAAGGCUGACAGCCUGUCUCACUCUCGUCAGUGCUAUCCCACCAGCUCCUUUAGGAGCUCAGCACUGCGUUUGGCCUGUUGCGAUCUUCCCGCUCCCCUCAUUUCUGUGCUGCAACGCCACCAUCCACGAGAAGUCAGAUAGGAGAAAAACUCUUUCCAGAGAGAUGGAGAAGGAAUUAAUUAUACCUCUGCCUCUUCCCGUGAGACCAGAAGACAUGGAGUAACUGUAAGCUGCGAUUCUCAGAAGACAUACUAAGCGUCUCUGGUUCCUUCUCUGCCUGCCCCCCUGGGGCCUUAGGGAUGAGAAAUCUUAGGCUUAAUGUUUUUCCCUAUGAAAUACUGUUGCGUUAAGGGGCGUAGCUGAC